AGUGAAAACGAGAUGCUGUCUCUUAGGGACUAAGGAAGCUAUCUUUCCUCUUCCGACAUUUGCUGACUGGUCGAUGCUAGAUGAUCUUGAGACCCUGUGCUGAGGACUGGAGAACUACAGGAAAGGAGCAGUAUCUCUGAAUUAUCGUGUGGAAGGUCACUUGUCUAGCCCCUGAUGACUGUGAGGUAAGUCGUUAGGGAUCUGGGGUUGUCUGAUACAGCAGUUAGCAGGUCCUGACUGACAUAUCCCUCUUAUUCUUUAAGUUGAACAAAUUAGAGACUGGAGUGUUUUGGGUAGCCUUGCUAUAUGGCAUGGUCGAAGACGGUGCUUCGCAGGUGAUUUACAACCCUCCUACCAUUUACUCUGUCUUCAUUUCAAGCAGUAUAACCUAUAAUUUCCUAAUCUUCAGCAGAAUAGGAAAAGGGGCUCAAAGCCACAAACACACACGCUUCCUUUCAAUGUACCUUUGUUGCUCAGCCACAGUGGCGAGUUCACGCGCCUGGCAAGACCUCUCCCUAUUUGGGCAUUUUGUGAAUACAGAAGAAUGGGCGCCCUGGUGUGACCCAACAUCAGAAUCCAAAACAUGGCAUCUUUACCUAGCCCUUUUCGCUUCUUUUAGAUCAUUCAAUAAACAUAAUCUGUUUUCUUUCAAAAUAACAUGGUUAUCUAAUUCCCUUCAUUAGCAGCUAGCAAAAGAGGCCCUGGGCUUCCCGUGAGCUAAUUCACUGGGUCCCUGAGGUCGUUGCGGGCUUUCCCUCUCACUCUUGCAACAGACACAAUCUCACUUCUUUAAUGUAAAGUAUGGUUUUUCUGUCGAAAUGUGCUUCCUGUUUUCUUUAUCGUAACUUACAGGCAUGAUUGCCUGGGUCUUCUCUCAUUAUUCCCAGUCCACUGCCUCUUCAUAUUUAGUGGUACUUCUGUCUUACUGGUCCCUGGAAAUUUAUCUCAGAUCAUUUCCUUUUGGGUCUAUCUCUUCUUUAAGAGAAAUAAUUUUAAAGUCAAAGCUCCAUAAUACAGAGAUCUGUUCUCUUUCCCACCAUCUGUUUUCUGAACCUCCCCUCCUGGUUCAAGCCUCUGUAGGAUAAUUUGAACACAAACCAUUGACUGCCAACUGAAAUCGAACAAGAUAAUGUCCAAUUUGCCCUUUUUUCUCUCUGAUUUGUCCCAAUGUUUACAUUUCUCCAUCAAUCAAUGAACAAAUCACUUUGGUACAGUGUGCCAGUAGCUUUGAGAGGAGCACAGAAGCAAUACAAGCAAGCUCACCAGUAACUUAUGAGGCUCGCUUACCCAAAGCCAUUCAAGAAUAAGACAGUAGAUAACACCAGCCACCUGGUGUAUAUAGAAAGUGCAUUCAGAGGGCCGGGCACGGUGGCUCACGCCUGUAAUCCCAGCACUUUGGGAGGCCGAGGCGGGCAGAUCACGAGGUCAGGAGAUCGAGA
rnacentral:lncRNA from 1 species